CGGGAACAGCUCAAAUUUAAAAUCUGGUGGUUCCGCCGCCCGAGUUGUAGUCUGGAGAAGUGUUAUCCGUGUCGGACCGUGUACAAGUCUCCUGGAAUGGAGCGUCAUAGAGGGUGAGAAUCCCGUCCAUGACACGGAUUCCCGAUGCUUUGUGAGGCACUCUCAAA
rnacentral:rRNA from 1 species